AUAAAUCGGCAUUAGCUACAUUGACUGACCUGUCGGCUGGCACGAUUUCGAAAAGGCAGUGGCGCGAAGCUACCGUGUGCCGGAUUAUGACUGAACGCCUCUAAGUCAGAAUCCAAGCUAGCAAGCGGCGCCUGCGCCCGCCGCCCGCCCCGACCCACGUUAGGGGCGCUCCGCGCCCCCAAGGGCCCGUGCCACUGGCCAUGCUGGCCCUGUCCGACGCGCCGAGGCCGGCUACCUCGAAGCUCCCUUCCCAACGGGCGGUGGGCUGAAUCCUUUGCAGACGACUUAAAUACGCGAUGGGGCAUUGUAAGUGGCAGAGUGGCCUUGCUGCCAUGAUCCACUGAGAUCCAGCCCCGCGUCGCACGGAUUC
rnacentral:ncRNA from 1 species